ACCACUUCUCUCUUUUCAGAACUUCCCCUGCUGCAGCCCCCUCCAGAUUGAGCUCCAACGAAAGUGAAGCCACCUUCUCCUCUUCGUCUUCUGCCGAUCAGAGAGCUUCGCAACGAAGAACCGACUAUGGGCGAAAAGGAUCCAGCGUCCAAUAAUGAGAAUGUGAUCUAGAGAUGAGAUCUCUACUUUCUUCUCUUUUGGGCGAUUUUUUAGGGUUUCAUACUUGAAACUAACUCUUCGCAAUUCGCAGCUUCAGUUUAACAAUCACAAGUUGAAGAGAAACAAUGUCUGGCAUGGAAAGACCAACAAAGAUUCCUCGUCUCUGCAACUCCGAAUCCAUUGUUGAUACUAACAAACUCUUUCCUCUUCUAUGGUGUACAUGUUCAUCACCUUGCUCUCAAUGGUGGCGAUUUUCUUGAAGUCUCCAAAUCCAUCCCAGAUUUAAAUUGUUAUUUUGGCGUUUGGCUCAUCAUGGGAUUCCCACCAAAGCCCAUCUGCAUAAUUGGAAGGACGUUGACCCAGUCUGUGAUUUAUGCUUGAGUCGAAUGGAGAACAUUCACCAUGUUUUCCUCAUUUGUGAUUUCACAAAACAUAUCUGGGCUGCUGGGCCGUUGGGCCUCCGAAGCGAGUGUUUGAAUUUUUCACCUUUCUCGUCUAUCAUAAUGUCUUUCUUUCAUCAACAUAAGUUGAAUAAGCGUGACUUGAAGUA